AACCGUGAGGUCACGACCUGAGCCCAAACCAAGAGUCAGAUGCUUAAUUGAUUGAGCCACACAGGCACCCCUAUCAUUUCUAUUCUUAAUUUUACACUGAGCUGUGAGGCAAGUAUACAUUUCACCACCCUCCUUGGUGGAUUAAGGGAAGGCUGCGUGUGGUUUUCUUAACCAGCCAGUUAUUUCAGUAUUUGGAAAAGUCCUCACUCAGAGAGUACAAGCAGGUGCAGGCAUGCCUGCACGCUCACACUGAAGCCGUCAUAUACGGAGGGGCUCCAGGAGCUACUCAGCUCCCCCGCCAGGUUUCAAAGAGAACACGGUGCUUCUGUGGGUCCCUGUGACCCUGGAUUUAAGGGUGGUGUUUCAUGCCUUUCCUGUCCCUGCUUUAAUGGUGUCCAAACCUUCUCCUUUAGACAAAUGCCUUCUGGAGGCACUUGUACUGGGGGAUCACUGGAAUCUUUGAUUCUGUAAUUCCCACAUAUUUUCUAAAAUCCUUUUUGGAAUAAGGCAAGCUUAAAAUUAAAGAGAACAAAACAAAAAAGGAGACCCAAACAGUGGUAAUGAUUCCUGAAGCCUGUUUUAUCUUCACACUCCACUUGGGCACAGAUGAUGCUUUCCAGGGAUUGCCAAAAGCCCGUGAACAAUGGAAAUCAGAAAUGUUGGCGUGCUGUAAGUUUUCCAUCAUAGCGAAGUGCAAAUUAUAACACGUUCACCCAUUCCACGUCAUAACUUGGGCCGCUGGAAAGAACCUGGCUAUGUGCCAGUAGUCACUCCUCAAGACUACGGCUAAGGAUGGGUCCCCCCACGCGUAAGGGGGAAAAAAAACCAAGCAGAAGAUUGGAGGCAACAGUGCCCAGCACCCCCGGGGACCCUGAAGAGCGCCUCGAUCUGCCAGCCAGAACAGAAAGCCUCAUGGUCCCCAGCAACGGGCAGAUACUCACAAGUGUCCUGUCUUGGUGGAAGAGUUCGCCUGGAUUUAGGACUGCUUGGUCUCACCCAACACAUCCUGAAAGCAAGACCUGAAACGAUCCAGCUUUCCAAACAGUUCAGCUGCACCCCAGCUGGAGUCUAGGGGUAACUACAUGCAAUCCAAUAUCGAAGUCCCAGUCCUGCCUUUCCUGGUCUUCAUUCCGUGCUAAUCCAUGAGGUGAACAAAUUCCACCACUGUCCUGGACUUGAGAAGAUCAGCAUGUAUUUUGGCUUAACCUGCCGAUGUGAGAAUGUCUUAACUCACGCGGAACUCACGGAACACACGCGUGGCGCUGAUGGCUGCACAAGCAUGUGAAUGUUCUUCGUGCCUCUGCACAUACAUUUGGAAACGAUUUCCAGUUGUCUGUAGAACCCUUAUGCAACAGAGGAAGCUCCCGGCACGCCACACGACCCCGUCCUUAAGGCUGCCCGGGCUUUUCUGCCCUGCUGGCAUCCACAGCCACCUCCGGCCAGUCCCGUACCCCUUUGAUUGUUGUAGCCUUGCGGCAAGUUGUGCACUCAACAAGUGCGAGUCCUCCACUUUUAUUCUUUUUCAAGAUUAUCACGGCUAUUCCUUGAGAUUCCAUAUGAACCUUAGGAUGGACUUUUUAUUUCUAUAAAAGCAUGGCUGGGAUUUUGGUAAGGGCUGCACUCAAUCUGUCUACCACUGCGGGUGACAUCAUGUCCUCCGGCACAGGAACGCAAGAGGUCUUUCCAAGUUUGCCUUUGCAUUUCUUUCAGCAAUGUUUUAUGCUUUUCUGUGUACACAUCUUUCACCUCCUCGGUUAAUUCCUAAAAAAAAAAUUUUUAUUUUUUUUCAUGCUA